rnacentral:rRNA from 1 species
UUUAUUGGAGAGUUUGAUCCUGGCUCAGGAUGAACGCUGGCGGCGUGCCUAAUACAUGCAAGUCGAGCGAAUGGAUUGAGAGCUUGCUCUUAUGAAGUUAGCGGCGGACGGGUGAGUAACACGUGGGUAACCUGCCCAUAAGACUGGGAUAACUCCGGGAAACCGGGGCUAAUACCGGAUAACAUUUUGAA